GUUUGGUUUUGCUGUGAUAGGGAAUUGCAUUGAGAGGACUUUUCAUUAUUGACAAGGAAGGUGUCAUUCAACACUCCACCAUUAACAAUCUUGCCAUUGGCCGUAGUGUGGAUGAGACUAAGAGAACGCUCCAGGCCUUGCAGUACGUUCAGGACAAUCCUGAUGAAGUUUGCCCUGCUGGGUGGAAGCCUGGGGAGAAAUCCAUGAAGCCAGACCCCAAGCUCAGCAAAGAGUACUUCUCCGCGAUAUAGUGGUAGUACACUGCAUAUCUAUGUCGGAUUCAGAUAGGGAGUUGUAAACGAGUUUUGGAUUUGUGUGAUUUCUUUUUCAGUUCUUGGUAAUUUGAGCAGCAGCCUGUCACAAUAAACCCAAUGAAUGGGACUUAACCAGAUUUUCAGAGAAUUCAAGUAGCAUGCAAGCAUGCAAUUCCGUGGUUCGUUACCCCUGCCGUUUUAUCGUGUCUCUGUUCAUAUGAUAUGGUCCAACUGGGUCAAAAGCCUAGGAGCUUGAUGCACCAUAAUAAUGCAGUUACAAAUUACAAUGGUGUGUAGGUUUUAAGCAGGAAAGUUUAUUUGGCACCGUGGAAGCAGGCUGAGGCUAUGUAAUUGUAUUAUUUCCAAGUAAAUUAUAAGAUGGAGAGAAUAAUCGUCUUUGCUCCCAUAUUUCUCAUUUUCUGCUGUGAUGAUUGGUUGGGGUUUGAAGGGUAGACAACUAAUCUUCAAAUCAUCAUCUUAUUCAGAAUUUGAAGGGAGGAAAAGAUACUACAAUCAACCCACCCGUGAAAAUAUGUAAUGAACAAGAUCUGAGUUAUGAAUUUGAUGGCUUUGCAUUAUUGCAAAUAACCCUUAUGAA